UAAUCUAUAUCGCUUAAUCUGUAAUCAGAGCGGGGGAACCAAUUUGCGGCGGAUGCCGCUUGGGGUGAAUCCUUUUUCAGGUAGGGCCAACUCUCAUCAGCCCGAAUCCGACAGCUAACCUCGUAAGCGUUCAUGAGAGGAGAU
rnacentral:sRNA from 2 species